CAGCGCUGGAAAUAAGGUUAGUUUUAUACUUUUAAAAGGGGAGCAAACCACCUAAAUGGUGGGUUAAACACUAUAGGGUCAGGAAUACAUGUUUGUGUUCCUGACCUUAUAGUGCUCCUUUAAGUAUUGUUGGGUCUGGGCGUGUGAGGAGAGGCAUGGAGUUUGCUGAAAUGUCCUGGGAAAUGUACAAUGGAGAGAUUCAUUAUUGUUAGUUCUGGGCGUGUGAGGAGAGGCCCUGGAGUUGGCUUAAAUGUCCUGGGAAAUGUACAAUGGAGAGAUUCAUUAUUGUUGGUUAUGAGGGUGUGAGGAGAGGCCCUGGAGUUUGGGGAAAUGUCC